rnacentral:misc_RNA from 1 species
CAAGCAGCAUAAUGUAAUGCUAAUGUUGAUAUUCAGGUUUCCUUUCCUUUUGAUCCAAGAGAAAAUUUCCAGAAAGAGGAUAUUCCCCUGUUCCAGCAGACAAACAAAUUGAUAAAUGAUAUAAAUAUAUUACAUUUCACAUUGUCAACCAUCCCUUCAACGCUAGCAUUACAUUAUGCUGCUUGCUUCGACAGCUUACAGUAUCGUACAACAUUGAUUGGUUUUCUUUGCCUGCUUGUAGAACAUCUGUGAAGC